GAUCAUAUCUGCUGCUAUCUGGUGGCUGAGUUUUUCACAUGCUUUCCAGCCAAGCUUUGUGUGGCAGUGUGGGAGAGUCUCUUAUUAGUCUUGCUAGCAUCUGCACUUCUGAAUCUCCAACAAAUCUCUCAGCUUUUUAAGGACUGGCAGUGGUUGAGCUCUUUGUAAUCUUCAUCUGCCAUUGUGAAGUGGGUGCCAAAAUCUGCGCCAUUUCGGCCUACUCCUCACUGAAAAACAGUAUAAACCAUCAUCAAGGACUUGUAAGUAAACGGAUCAUGGCGUCUUAACAUCAGAUCCAUCAAACUUACGAAAUUAAGAUCAAAAUACAACAGUUUGAUGAUAAACCUUCAUGUGAGAGUAAGAAUACUCAGCAUUCCCACUUCAAAUUACUGUAUAACUAAUGAAAUUGCAUUCCUUCCAUUAUAUAACAUGAGCUGACCAAGUGUUUUCUUGUUAUUAUACAAUUUAACUAUGAAAUUCAUCGAA